CCUACGGGUGGCAGCAGUCGAGAAUUUUUCUCAAUGGGGGAAACCCUGAAGGAGCGACGCCGCGUGGAGGAUGAAGGUCUUCGGAUUGUAAACUCCUGUCAUUUGGGAACUAGUACCAGAAGAGGAAGAGACGGCUAACUCUGUGCCAGCAGCCGCGGUAAUACAGAGGUCUCAAGCGUUGUUCGGAUUCAUUGGGCGUAAAGGGUGCGUAGGUGGCGAGGUAAGUCAGGUGUGAAAUCUCGGGGCUCAACCCCGAAACUGCACUUGAUACUGCCUUGCUUGAGUACUGGAGAGGAGAUUGGAAUUUACGGUGUAGCAGUGAAAUGCGUAGAUAUCGUAAGGAAGACCAGUGGCGAAGGCGAAUCUCUGGACAGUACUGACACUGAGGCACGAAGGCCAGGGGAGCAAACGGGAUUAGAUACCCUUGUAGUC
rnacentral:rRNA from 1 species